rnacentral:piRNA from 1 species
UCCCAAGAAGAAUGUUCCUCUAAAAGGAGGC